UGGUUAAGUUAGAAAGGGCGCACGGUGGAUGCCUUGACACUAGGAGUCGAUGAAGGACGGGACUAACGCCGAUAUGCUUCGGGGAGCUGUAAGUAAGCUUUGAUCCGAAGAUUUCCGAAUGGGGAAACCCACCAUACGUAAUGGUAUGGUAUCCUUAUCUGAAUACAUAGGGUAAGGAAGACAGACCCAGGGAACUGAAACAUCUAAGUACCUGGAGGAAGAGAAAGCAAAUGCGAUUUCCUGAGUAGCGGCGAGCGAAACGGAACAUAGCCCAAACCAAGAGGCUUGCCUCUUGGGGUUGUAGGACAUUCUAUACGGAGUUACAAAGGAACGAGGUAGACGAAGCGAUCUGGAAAGGUCCGUCGUAGAGGGUAACAACCCCGUAGUCGAAACUUCGUUCUCUCUUGAAUGUAUCCUGAGUACGGCGGAACACGUGAAAUUCCGUCGGAAUCUGGGAGGACCAUCUCCCAAGGCUAAAUACUCCCUAGUGAUCGAUAGUGAACCAGUACCGUGAGGGAAAGGUGAAAAGCACCCCGGAAGGGGAGUGAAAGAGAUCCUGAAACCGUGUGCCUACAAAUAGUCAGAGCCCGUUAACGGGUGAUGGCGUGCCUUUUGUAGAAUGAACCGGCGAGUUACGAUCCCGUGCGAGGUUAAGCUGAAGAGGCGGAGCCGCAGCGAAAGCGAGUCUGAAUAGGGCGUUUAGUACGUGGUCGUAGACCCGAAACCAGGUGAUCUACCCAUGUCCAGGGUGAAGUUCAGGUAACACUGAAUGGAGGCCCGAACCCACGCACGUUGAAAAGUGCGGGGAUGAGGUGUGGGUAGCGGAGAAAUUCCAAUCGAACCUGGAGAUAGCUGGUUCUCCCCGAAAUAGCUUUAGGGCUAGCCUUAAGUGUAAGAGUCUUGGAGGUAGAGCACUGAUUGGACUAGGGGUCCUCAUCGGAUUACCGAAUUCAGUCAAACUCCGAAUGCCAAUGACUUAUCCUUAGGAGUCAGACUGCGAGUGAUAAGAUCCGUAGUCAAAAGGGAAACAGCCCAGACCGCCAGCUAAGGUCCCAAAGUGUGUAUUAAGUGGAAAAGGAUGUGGAGUUGCUUAGACAACUAGGAUGUUGGCUUAGAAGCAGCCACCAUUUAAAGAGUGCGUAAUAGCUCACUAGUCGAGUGACUCUGCGCCGAAAAUGUACCGGGGCUAAAUACACCACCGAAGCUGCGGAUUGAUACCAAUGGUAUCAGUGGUAGGGGAGCGUUCUAAGGACAGUGAAGUCAGACCGUAAGGACUGGUGGAGUGCUUAGAAGUGAGAAUGCCGGUAUGAGUAGCGAAAGACGGGUGAGAAUCCCGUCCACCGAAUGCCUAAGGUUUCCUGAGGAAGGCUCGUCCGCUCAGGGUUAGUCAGGACCUAAGCCGAGGCCGACAGGCGUAGGCGAUGGACAACAGGUUGAUAUUCCUGUACCACCUCUUUAUCGUUUGAGCAAUGGAGGGACGCAGAAGGAUAGAAGAAGCGUGCGAUUGGUUGUGCACGUCCAAGCAGUUAGGCUGAUAAGUAGGCAAAUCCGCUUAUCGUAAAGGCUGAGCUGUGAUGGGGAAGCUCCUUAUGGAGCGAAGUCUUUGAUUCCCCGCUGCCAAGAAAAGCUUCUAGCGAGAUAAAAGGUGCCUGUACCGCAAACCGACACAGGUAGGCGAGGAGAGAAUCCUAAGGUGUGCGAGAGAACUCUGGUUAAGGAACUCGGCAAAAUGACCCCGUAACUUCGGGAGAAGGGGUGCUUUCUUAACGGAAAGCCGCAGUGAAUAGGCCCAAGCGACUGUUUAGCAAAAACACAGCUCUCUGCGAAGCCGUAAGGCGAAGUAUAGGGGGUGACACCUGCCCGGUGCUGGAAGGUUAAGGAGAGGGGUUAGCGUAAGCGAAGCUCUGAACUGAAGCCCCAGUAAACGGCGGCCGUAACUAUAACGGUCCUAAGGUAGCGAAAUUCCUUGUCGGGUAAGUUCCGACCCGCACGAAAGGUGUAACGAUUUGGGCACUGUCUCAACCAGAGACUCGGUGAAAUUAUAGUACCUGUGAAGAUGCAGGUUACCCGCGACAGGACGGAAAGACCCCGUGGAGCUUUACUGUAGCCUGAUAUUGAAUUUUGGUACAGUUUGUACAGGAUAGGCGGGAGCCAUUGAAACCGGAGCGCUAGCUUCGGUGGAGGCGCUGGUGGGAUACCGCCCUGACUGUAUUGAAAUUCUAACCUACGGGUCUUAUCGACCCGGGAGACAGUGUCAGGUGGGCAGUUUGACUGGGGCGGUCGCCUCCUAAAGUGUAACGGAGGCGCCCAAAGGUUCCCUCAGAAUGGUUGGAAAUCAUUCGUAGAGUGCAAAGGCAUAAGGGAGCUUGACUGCGAGACCUACAAGUCGAGCAGGGACGAAAGUCGGGCUUAGUGAUCCGGUGGUUCCGCAUGGAAGGGCCAUCGCUCAACGGAUAAAAGCUACCCCGGGGAUAACAGGCUUAUCUCCCCCAAGAGUCCACAUCGACGGGGAGGUUUGGCACCUCGAUGUCGGCUCAUCGCAUCCUGGGGCUGUAGUCGGUCCCAAGGGUUGGGCUGUUCGCCCAUUAAAGCGGUACGCGAGCUGGGUUCAGAACGUCGUGAGACAGUUCGGUCCCUAUCCGUCGUGGGCGUAGGAAAUUUGAGAGGAGCUGUCCUUAGUACGAGAGGACCGGGAUGGACGCACCGCUGGUGUACCAGUUGUUCUGCCAAGGGCAUAGCUGGGUAGCUAUGUGCGGAAGGGAUAAGUGCUGAAAGCAUCUAAGCAUGAAGCCCCCCUCAAGAUGAGAUUUCCCAUAGCGUAAGCUAGUAAGAUCCCUGAAAGAUGAUCAGGUUGAUAGGUUCGAGGUGGAAGCAUGGUGACAUGUGGAGCUGACGAAUACUAAUAGAUCGAGGACUUAACCAU
rnacentral:rRNA from 1 species